AGAUGCAGUCCCUUCCACUCUGCCUGAGAACUGUAAGACAUGGGGUCACACUCAGCAGUCACAACAUCUAAAGCGUAUUGAUCCCACUGUUAAUGAUCUAAAAUAGAUGUUUAGCAUUGUUUGCUGGGUCCCGGAGAUCCUGCUACUGAGCUGACAAGUGCUGGGACAAGUCUGACCCAUUCUUCCUAGAAGGAGACACAGAGGAGACAGGGUCCGUACCAGAAGAAGAAGAAAGGGCGUCCCUUGAAAAGCAUGUCUGUGGAGUUUAGUUUAAAAAGAUCAGACUUUUCUGGUUCUAAAACGUAGAGGUCAUAUUAAAAAUUAAAAAGUAGAAAUUCUAUUUACAUGACAAUUCUUGUUCCUGUGUGGACCUGCAGAGGA
rnacentral:lncRNA from 1 species